rnacentral:rRNA from 1 species
GACGAACGCUGGCGGCGUGCCUAAUACAUGCAAGUAGAACGCUGAAGGAGGAGCUUGCUUCUCUGGAUGAGUUGCGAACGGGUGAGUAACGCGUAGGUAACCUGCCUGGUAGCGGGGGAUAACUAUUGGAAACGAUAGCUAAUACCGCAUAAUAGCAGUUGUUGCAUGACAACUGUUUGAAAGGUGCAAUUGCACCACUACCAGAUGGACCUGCGUUGUAUUAGCUAGUUGGUGGGGUAACGGCUCACCAAGGCGACGAUACAUAGCCGACCUGAGAGGGUGAUCGGCCACACUGGGACUGAGACACGGCCCAGACUCCUACGGGAGGCAGCAGUAGGGAAUCUUCGGCAAUGGACGGAAGUCUGACCGAGCAACGCCGCGUGAGUGAAGAAGGUUUUCGGAUCGUAAAGCUCUGUUGUAAGAGAAGAACGAGUGUGAGAGUGGAAAGUUCACACUGUGACGGUAUCUUAACAGAAAGGGACGGCUAACUACGUG